UAGCUACGAAAGAGUCGCUUUGAUCCUUAAGGGCCUUGAGUUAUGGAUGAAAGUUGCCAUAGCAACCGGAAACUAGUAAUAAGUAAAGGGCUAGGGAUCAUGGGCCGAAACUCUCAAUUUGCUGAUUCAAGAUCAUAUUAUUAUAUAUUUGCUUUUUAAAUAUUCUGAAAGGAAGACUCAUUUGCUACAGCUUUCAUAUUUGGGAACUUUUGUUUUCACUGCUUUUUAUUUUUUUAAGUACCUUCCACUGGAAAUACUGAAAGUUUUGAGUUGGCUUAACGUCUUCAUUUUAACUUCUAGCAAGCUACCUCAGAUAAGAUCUAUAUACGUUAAUAAAAGUACUGGUCAAGUUUCCAUUCUUACUGCAUUAUUAACUUUCGGUGGUAGUGUACUUCGAUGUUAUACCAGUUUGAAAGAAGCCCCAGGCAACAAGUCUUUAUAUGUGGGCCAUCUUUGCGGAAGUUUACUUAAUGGAACGCUUUUACUUCAAUUCCUUCUUUACAGUAAACGCUAUAAAAAGUGAAUUUUAAUAAAAAUACUGGCUGUUUCCAACUAGCGCGAUUGGGGUUUACUUUUUCAUAUUAUUGCUAAUUAUAUUAUUCU